GUCAGCACCCCGCUCUAAAGAGACGGGGCUUCAUGCCCCCCCUCUCUAGAUAGCUGACCCGCUUAAGUCCUUAACUGGGCUACGUUAUCGGCAAGAGUUUAAGUUCGUACCUGCGAAUACGUGAUGCCAGUUCGCUGCUCUACA
rnacentral:sRNA from 19 species